AUUUUCACAAAGUACCAAAGCCUUGUAUAACCACUUCCUUGAAGAUGUCUUCCAUUUUCUGAAACCACAUCAAUCCACCUAUUUGUAGAAGAGUUAGAAUAUCAAGACAUCUAAGGAAAAAUCAUACCUUGAAAAAUCACAUAUGAGGUCCCCAGUCACAUCAGGUCACUCCUCCGUUUUUGGACUUGGAUGAAAUAACACUCUAGAGUACAAGGGAUCUCUCUUCCUGAGUGGCACUGAGGGAGUCAGAUGAUGUAACAGUAUAAAGAUUUGAAUGGAAUAUCUCAUCUCAGGACAUGGGAUCUGGCACACCAUGUUCUGCAUCCAGAGUGGUUGGCAUGCAAAGGAACUGGAUGACACACAACUUGGAAAUGAUGGACAGUUAACUCCCUAUGGUGAAAAUUUUGACGAUUGGGAAAUAGAAGACAGGAGGGAGACAAGCAGAUAAAUUUCUCCUUCUUUUUCACACCGCCUAACAUAUAUCAUUCCAUACAGCAUGCCCGGGAAUAUACUGGGUAAUGAGUAAAUACAUCUGCCUAGCAAUGUCAUGGCUCAUUGUGAAGCAGUAGUCAGACAUAUAAACAGCAUUUCAUUUAUUUUCCACAUCUUUUUCUUAUCCUAAUGCCUUUAUUCCUUACUCUCCCUGUCUUACGUUUGCAGAUAGGAAAUAAAGCACUGUCACUUAGUCCUCACCUUAGGUUCCAUAUUCUAUGGAAACUGGCAAGCAAAGCCACCUGGUGAAUGUAAGAAUUACUACAUGGGAUUGUUAAAAAUGCAAACUUUCUAAUGUUGGCUUCCUCUACCUUAAACAUGGAAACUUUUCUGUAUCAUUAUUAAUUCCAGAUGCUAUCCUUGUUUCAUAUUAAUCUACGUAUUUAAAAGAAAUAAUGUGGAAUAACUCAAUUUGCCCAGAUAGCAAGCUUUUGCUUUCUUCUUCCAUGCUAAGAAAACUGAAAUUGUGUUAGAGUCAGUGAUAUGCCUAGAGUCAGGCAAUGAAACAUGACUGGCCUAACUCAAUUAUGACAACAGUGUUCCCGAAUUUCCAAGCCUCCUUUCAAGCAGGGGUGCCACCUGUCCCAGCUCUGGAUGGGAUGGUUCUGGAAAAGCUUUGUUUUAAUAAUAAAG
rnacentral:lncRNA from 1 species